rnacentral:rRNA from 1 species
GCCCUUGAGUUUGAUCCUGGCUCAGAUUGAACGCUGGCGGUAUGCUUAACACAUGCAAGUCGAACGGUAACAGCAGAGCUUGCUCUGGCUGACGAGUGGCGGACGGGUGCGUAACGCGUAGGAAUCUGCCUAUUAGUGGGGGACAACAUGAGGAAACUCAUGCUAAUACCGCAUACGCCCUACGGGGGAAAGCAGGGGAUCUUCGGACCUUGCGCUAAUAGAUGAGCCUGCGUUAGAUUAGCUAGUUGGUGAGGUAAUGGCUCACCAAGGCGACGAUCUAUAGCUGGUCUGAGAGGACGAUCAGCCACACUGGGACUGAGACACGGCCCAGACUCCUACGGGAGGCAGCAGUGGGGAAUAUUGGACAAUGGGCGCAAGCCUGAUCCAGCAAUACCGCGUGUGUGAAGAAGGCCUGAGGGUUGUAAAGCACUUUCAAUAGGGAGGAAAACAGGCAGGUCAAUAUCCUGUCUCUUGACAUUACCUAUAGAAGAAGCACCGGCUAACUCCGUGCCAGCAGCCGCGGUAAUACGAAGGGC